rnacentral:rRNA from 1 species
UACGUAGGGUGCGAGCGUUGUCCGGAAUUAUUGGGCGUAAAGGGCUCGUAGGCGGUUUGUCGCGUCGGGAGUGAAAACCAGGUGCUUAACACCUGGCUUGCUUUCGAUACGGGCAGACUAGAGGUAUUCAGGGGAGAACGGAAUUCCUGGUGUAGCGGUGAAAUGCGCAGAUAUCAGGAGGAACACCGGUGGCGAAGGCGGGUCUCUGGGACUGACUGACGCUGAGGAGCGAAA